GAUGAACGCUGGCGGCGUGCCUAAUACUUGCAAGUCGAGCGAACAGAUGAGGACCUUGCUCCUCUGUCGUUAGCGGUGGCCGGCUGAGUAACAAGUGGAUAACCAACCUCUCAGACCUGGAUAACUUCGGGAAACCGGUGCUAAUACCGGAUAAUAUAUUGAACCUCAUGGUUCAUUGGUGAAAGACGGUUAUGCUGUCACUUAUAGAUGGAUCCGCGCCGGAUUAGCUAGUUGGUAAGGUAAUGGCCUACCAAGGCAGCGAUGCGUAGCCGACCUGAAAGGAUGUUCGGCGGCACUCGGACUGUGACGGUAUCCUAACUACUACGGUGGGCAGCAGUAGAGGGUCAUACGGCAUAGGCGGUAGCGUGACGAGGCAGAGCCGCGGGAGUGACGAAGGGAUCCGGAUCGUAAAAAACUGUUGUUACGGAAGAACAAGCAUUUACGGAACUAUGAGCGUCUUGACGGUAACUGGUCAGGAAGCCUCGGCUAACUACGUG
rnacentral:rRNA from 1 species